CUCCUACGGGAGGCAGCAGUGAGGAAUAUUGGUCAAUGGACGAGAGUCUGAACCAGCCAAGUAGCGUGCAGGAUGACGGCCCUAUGGGUUGUAAACUGCUUUUAUAAGGGAAUAAAGUGAGUCUCGUGAGACUUUUUGCAUGUACCUUAUGAAUAAGGACCGGCUAAUUCCGUGCCAGCAGCCGCGGUAAUACGGAAGGUCCGGGCGUUAUCCGGAUUUAUUGGGUUUAAAGGGAGCGUAGGCCGGAGAUUAAGCGUGUUGUGAAAUGUAGAUGCUCAACAUCUGAACUGCAGCGCGAACUGGUUUCCUUGAGUACGCACAAAGUGGGCGGAAUUCGUGGUGUAGCGGUGAAAUGCUUAGAUAUCACGAAGAACUCCGAUUGCGAAGGCAGCUCACUGGAGCGCAACUGACGCUGAAGCUCGAAAGUGCGGGUAUCGAACAGGAUUAGAUACCCUGGUAGUCCGCACGGUAAACGAUGGAUGCCCGCUGUUGGUCUGAAUAGGUCAGCGGCCAAGCGAAAGCAUUAAGCAUCCCACCUGGGGAGUACGCCGGCAACGGUGAAACUCAAAGGAAUUGACGGGGGCCCGCACAAGCGGAGGAACAUGUGGUUUAAUUCAAUGAUACGCGAGGAACCUUACCCGGGCUUGAAUUGCAGAGGAAGGAUUUGGAGACAAUGACGCCCUUCGGGGCCUCUGUGAAGGUGCUGCAUGGUUGUCGUCAGCUCGUGCCGUGAGGUGUCGGCUUAAGUGCCAUAACGAGCGCAACCCCUCUCCUUAGUUGCCAUCAGGUUAAGCUGGGCACUCUGGGGACACUGCCACCGUAAGGUGUGAGGAAGGUGGGGAUGACGUCAAAUCAGCACGGCCCUUACGUCCGGGGCUACACACGUGUUACAAUGGCAGGUACAGAGAGACGGUCCCUUGCAAAAUGGAUCAAAUCCUUAGAGCCUGUCUCAGUUCGGACUGGGGUCUGCAACCCGACCCCACGAAGCUGGAUUCGCUAGUAAUCGCGCAUCAGCCAUGGCGCGGUGAAUACGUUCCCGGGCCUUGUACACACCGC
rnacentral:rRNA from 1 species